CCAAUAGCGUAUAUUAAAGUUGUUGCAGUUAAGAAGCUCGUAGUUGAAUUUCGGGAUUAGUGCGCUGGUCAUGCCUUUGGUAUGUACUGGUGUUACUGAUUUCUACCUUCUGAAGAACCGUUAUGUCAUUUAUUUGGUGUGGCGGGGAAUCAGGACUGUUACUUUGAAAAAAUUAGAGUGUUUAAAGCAGGCUCGCGCUUGAAUACAUUAGCAUGGAAUAAUGAAAUAGGACGUUUGACCCUAUUUUGUUGGUUUCUAGGAUCGACGUAAUGAUUAAUAGGGAUAGUUGGGGGCAUUAGUAUUCAAUUGUCAGAGGUGAAAUUCUUGGAUUUAUUGAAGACUAACUACUGCGAAAGCAUUUGCCAAGGAUGUUUUCAUUAAUCAAGAACGAAAGUUAGGGGAUCGAAGACGAUCAGAUACCGUCGUAGUCUUAACCAUAAACUAUGCCGACUAGGGAUCGGAUGAUGUUAUUUUUAAUGACUCAUUCGGCGCCUUACG
rnacentral:rRNA from 1 species